rnacentral:rRNA from 1 species
AUUGAACGCUGGCGGCAUGCCUUACACAUGCAAGUCGAACGGUAACAGGUCUUCGGAUGCUGACGAGUGGCGAACGGGUGAGUAAUACAUCGGAACGUGCCUAGUAGUGGGGGAUAACUACUCGAAAGAGUGGCUAAUACCGCAUGAGAUCUCCGGAUGAAAGCAGGGGAUCGCAAGACCUUGUGCUACUAGAGCGGCCGAUGGCAGAUUAGGUAGUUGGUGGGAUAAAAGCUUACCAAGCCGACGAUCUGUAGCUGGUCUGAGAGGACGAUCAGCCACACUGGGACUGAGACACGGCCCAGACUCCUACGGGAGGCAGCAGUGGGGAAUUUUGGACAAUGGGCGAAAGCCUGAUCCAGCAAUGCCGCGUGCAGGAUGAAGGCCUUCGGGUUGUAAACUGCUUUUGUACGGAACGAAAAGCCCCGGGUUAAUACCCUGGGGUCAUGACGGUACCGUAAGAAUAAGCACCGGCUAACUACGUGCCAGCCGCCGCCGUAAUAC